AGAGUUUGAUCAUGGCUCAGGAUGAACGCUAGCGGCAGGCUUAAUACAUGCAAGUCGAACGGUAAAUAUUUCAGCAAUGGAAUAUGAGAGUGACGCACGGGUGCGUAACACGUAUGCAACCUACCCUUUACAGGAGUAUAGCUCGGGGAAACUCGAAUUAACACUUCAUAGUAUGAUUGAAUGGCAUCAUUUGAUUAUUAAAUCUGAGGAGGUAAAGGAUGGGCAUGCGUCUGAUUAGCUAGUUGGUAGUGUAACGGACUACCAAGGCGAUGAUCAGUAGGGGAACUGAGAGGUUGAUCCCCCACACUGGCACUGAGAUACGGGCCAGACUCCUACGGGAGGCAGCAGUAGGGAAUAUUGGUCAAUGGGUGAGAGCCUGAACCAGCCAUGCCGCGUGCAGGAAGACGGCCUUCUGGGUUGUAAACUGCUUUUGUCAGGGGAUAAAAUUUCCAUGCGUGGAAAAUUGAAGGUACCUGGCGAAUAAGCCACGGCUAACUACGUGCCAGCAGCCGCGGUAAUACGUAGGUGGCAAGCGUUGUCCGGAUUUAUUGGGUUUAAAGGGUGCGUAGGCGGCCUAUUAAGUCAGUGCUGAAAUAUUCCGGCUUAACCGGGAGGGUGGCAUUGAUACUGAUGGGCUAGAGUACAGAUGAGGUAGGCGGAAUUGACGGUGUAGCGGUGAAAUGCUUAGAUAUCGUCAAGAACACCUAUAGCGAAGGCAGCUUACUAGGCUGUAACUGACGCUGAGGCACGAAAGUGUGGGGAUCAAACAGGAUUAGAUACCCUGGUAGUCCACACUGUAAACGUUGAUUACUCGCUGUGUG
rnacentral:rRNA from 1 species